UACCAGCACCCCCGAGUGGUCGGGGCGUUUAUUGGGCCUAAAGCAUCCGUAGCCGGUUCUACAAGUCUUCCGUUAAAUCCAACUGCUUAACAGAUGGGCUGCGGAGGAUACUACAAGGCUAGGAGACGGAAGAGGCAAGCGGUACUCAGUGGGUAGGGGUAAAAUCCUCUGAUCCAUUGAAGACCACCAGUGGCGAAGGCGGCUUGCCAAUACGCGCUCGACGGUGAGGGAUGAAAGCUGGGGGGAGCAAACCGG
rnacentral:rRNA from 1 species